ensembl:lncRNA
AAAAGUUUAAAUAAAAUAUUUUUAAUCCUUAAAACUAUGUCUUUAUCUGAUUAUUUAGUCUUUAAUCCUUCAUAUUCAAGUCACUAAUAACUUAAUAAAUAGUAUACUUUGUUAUCCUUCAACAUGACAAGAAAAGUAUGAUUUCUACCAGUAUAUUUUUAACAGAAGAUUUGAAUGAGAGCAUUAAAGCAAAAUGAUUUAUAUUCUUCUAUGCAUUGGAAAUGAUAUAACAAAGCCAAAUAAUUAAAGGUCCACUAACAAAACUUUUUCAGUUUUAGAAAAUAGAACUGCUACAACCAAGAAAAGGCAUAAAUGGUCCUCAACUUCAGUUGGUAAGCUUUAAGUUUUCUCUGACGUUUCUUUCAUUGUUCUUAAAGGUAUUCCUUAACUUAGAAAAUAGGCAGAAGUCUUAGGUAUGUGUGCAUGCAUACACACAUAUGUCUUCUUUCACAUGAAGUUCUAAGAAACCUCAGCAGGAUUCCAAGGGAGCUGACUCAGAUCAUUUUCCAGCUUUUCUCUCCAUCCCUUCCUGCACGGUGUUCCUCUGUCCUUCCUACAUUCUUUUAUCUUUCAGGGUAUUCAUUUCCAGCCUCUUGUCUUUCCCUUUCCCUGUCAGUCCACUUAAUUUAUGAAGCCCACCUCAAACGCUCCUGUUUUGGUUGAAGGAGGUGUCUCCUAAUAAUCUGGGGCAAGUGCUGUAGGGAGUUAGAUGAAUGAGAGGUUAUAGUUCCUGGGAUUUUAGCUCUGCUUUCUGUAUAUACAGUCUUCCUACAUAAUCUUAGCCACACGUAUAGCUUCCCUUCAAACUUUAGUUCUGCUGUCUAGCAAAUCCACAUUUCUCAACUCAGAGUUCUAGCCAGCUCCUGAACAUUCCUCAUGUGUUACAUUGGCAUAGGAAACUGAACAUAUUUAUCUCCUGUAUUAGUUACUUUUUCGUUGCUGUGAUCAAAUACCAUAACCAAAAGCAACUUGUUAUUUGGCUUUUGGUUCCAGAGGGAUGAGAGUCCAUGAUAGUAAAGGGCCAUGACAGCAAGAAGGGUCGUGGUGGUAGGAGCAGGAAGCUGAGAGUUCACAUCUUCAAAUGCAAGCCUGAAGUAGAAGAGAGCAAGUUAGAACUAAGAUAGACUUUUUACUCUUAAAGCCCACCCCAGAACAAUUCCUCCAGCAAGGCCAUACCUCCUAAACUUGCCCAAACAGCACCACCAACUGAGAACCAAGUGUCCAAAUGCCUGAGACUGGGCGACAUAUAUUUUUCAAAGUACUGCAUCCUUUCUUUUCACAUCUGGCACACAGUUUUGAGUUCAAGGCAGAAAUCUGCAUUGUCCUUACCCAACGUGUGAGUUGAGUUUUUUUUUUGAGACAGUCUCACUAUGUAUCAUAGGCUGACCUCAGCCUUCCUACAGUGGGGAAUACAGGUCUGCCAUCACACUGAUCUUUUGCCACUUUCAGCUCUUAGUCACCAUCUUAAGCCAUACUUGUCUGGUCCAAGCCCUCAUGGUUCCCACUAGACUUAUGAAUUAUCUUUCUGAUCAGCUUCCACAUUAGUUUUAUACACUGCUGCCAGAGAAAGAGCUCUCUAAAGCUAAACUGACCCUGAAAUUGAACAUUCUUCAAUUGGCCUUCAUCUUGAGAGUAAGGUCCUAACUCACUGGCGUGCCAUGCAAACCCAUUUGUCUUUCAGACUUGACCUCCCUAUUGGGGAUGGAACCUUGUACCUGCUAGACAACACUUCUACUGCUGAGCUGCAACCCCCACUCCCUGUUCAGUGUCUUAUAUCCUAUACUAUAUCGCUAUGCAAGCCACAUGGCUUUCUAAAUAGGCUAUGGUUUCUUAACCCUCAUUGCCUUUCUACCCACACCCCAAACCCCAUCCUCUUUCGGCUCAUCCUUUCUUGGCUUUUCAUAAACCAGUCUUGGUAACACACAUUUUCUUGUUUUAAAACUUCUAUCCUUCAGUCUUAAUAAUAGCACCUUGUGGAUACCUACACCUCACCUUUUUUGAUAUGUGAUGAUAACUGCCUUCUCCAUUAUACCCUUAACUGUACACUAAGGACAGAUACUGUCCUAUUUUGUCUUCCAAGGAUCUGACUUAAUAUCUGGCAAAUGGUAUAACAUGAUAUGUGUACCAUGGCACAUGGACACCCCCCACACAAAUGUCAU